GUCCUAUUGUAUUAUUUAAUAGGUCUGGCCUGCCCAGUGAUAAUUUCAACGGCCGCGGUAUAUUGACCGUGCAAAGGUAGCAUAAUCAUUAGUCUUUUAAUAGGAGGCUGGAAUGAAAGGUUUAACGAGAAAUUAACUGUCUCAAUUGCAAUCUUGAAUUUAUCUUUUGAGUCAAAAGACUUAAAUUUAAUUGGUGGACGAGAAGACCCUAUAGAGCUUGACAAUUAUUUUUUUUCUAUUUACUUAGUCAAAUUAUUUAUUUAUAUUAAAAAUAUUGUUUUGUUGGGGUGACAAUAAAUAUAUAUUUAACUUUUAUCAUAGUGUUAACAUUAAUAUAGAUUUUUGGAUCCAAAAAUUU
rnacentral:rRNA from 1 species